rnacentral:pre_miRNA from 13 species
GACUCCAGAAUCACCACGUCACCUGCUCCUCAGAUCAGAAGGUGAUUGUGGCUUUGGGUAGAUAUUAAUCAGCCACAACACUGCCUGGUCAGAAAGAGCAAGUGUCCUAGCCUUUUACCUCAU